rnacentral:lncRNA from 1 species
ACCAUGCUCCUUCACUUCUCUUCUCUAGAACUUUCAGUUCAACUUCUAUAAUCUCUUGAGUGUCUCCUAUGUGCCAAGUGCUAGGUCUUCAAAAGAGAAAGAAAGAGACAGUCAUGGAGUUCGGUCCAGAAGAGGAAACAGAACAUAAACCUAAUUAUACUGCAGUGUGAUUUGAACAGUGGAGAAGUAUGUGAAGAACACAGAAGUAUUAAAGGAAAGAGACUCAAUUUUUCAGCACAAUUCCUCCUAUGCUGAAAAAAGUCAGUUUUAUAUAUCCUAAAUGGCAAUCAAUAUUCCUUUAUUUUUAAAUUAUCUUUUUCCUGUCUUUUCUUUAAGUGCCAAGUUUCUUCAAAGGGUAGACACUCAUGCCUUUAGAUCCCCAUAUAUUUCUUAACCUUCUUCCAUUCUACCAUUUCUUUUAACUGCUAACAUUUUCUGUUUUUCAAUAACCUGAUUUCUCAACACUACCAAAUGCACUGAAAGCAUCACUUCUUCUGGCUUCUAUGACAUUAAAUGGUUUCCAUUCUCCUCUGACCUUUCUGAGAAGGUCUUUGUCUAUCUCCUGUUUAGCUAUUCUUUUUCCUCUCACCCAUUAAUUAGAUGCUUUUUAAUAUCCUGAUAUUAAACUUACGUCAUUUUCUAUGUAUUCCCUUGAAGACCUAAUCGAGUUAUUGCUUCUGUCUAGGAAAAUAAUCUAAAUAUGAAUUUCUAAUCUAAUAAACCAUUAACACCUUGAGAUUAGGAAAAGUAUCUCAAAUUCUUUUUAAAAUAUCUCAAAGCAGAAAUGAUCACAACAUUGUAAAUCUUUUUGUCAUUGUAAAUCAUUUUUGUCUUUUUAGAGCUGCACUACAGCAUAUGCAAGUUCCCAGGCUAGGGGUCCAAUUGGAGCUGUAGCUACCAGGCUAUGCCACGGCCACAGCAACACCAGAUCCAAGCUGCAUCUACGACCCACACCACAGCUCAGGACAAUGCCAGAUCCUUAACCCACUGAGCAGGGCCAGGAAUCAAAACUGCAUCAUCAUGGAUACUAGUUGGGUUCGUUAUUGCUGAGCCAGGAUGGGAACUCCUUAAACCAACUAUAUUUCAAUUAAACUUUAAAAACUGAAAAACAUUAAGUGAACAACAAAAAAAUCUCGAGUGCUAGGUAUAUUUAAAAAGAUCCAAUAAGUGUUAGACCAAUUCAACACAAUCUCACAAACUGAUUCUCAAAAUCAAUUUGACAGUCUCCCAAGAUUCAGUUCUUUCUAAUUGUCUGCUAGUUAUCUCUAUAAACUCUCAAAAAUUUGUCCUAAACCGAUUUCUUAAUUCAUUAUUUUAAAUUAAUCUAUUCAUUUGUUUUCCAGCAAAUAUGGACUGAAUGAUCACCUAGGCUUAUGUACAUUGGUGAACAAAGAUGAUAUCGUCUCCUUUUUAAAAUCAGAUUACCCUCUAAGGCAUUUCCUAAUUUAUUAUAAUUUCCAAUAUUUUGCUGCUAUUUAAAAAAUGAUUUUUAUUUUUUCCAUUAUAGUUGGUUUACAGUAUUCUGUCAAUUUUCUACUUUACGGCAAAAUAACCCAGUCACCAAUAUACAUAUAUACAUUCUUUUUCUCACAUUAUGUUCCAUCAAUGCUCCAUCACAAGUGACUAGAUAUAGUUCCCAGUGCUAUAUGGCAGGAUCUCAUUGCUUAUCCAUUCCAAAGGCAAUAGUUUGCGUUACCAUUUUUUUUUUUUUAAUAUCUAAGCCUGGAAGGUUAAAAUAAAUGAUUUCUCAUUCAGUGAAUAAGUCCUUAAUAGUUUACCUUAAUGACUCUAGUACAGCUGGAUCUCUGUGACAUCCUCCCAAGUAUUUUUCAAUUUCUUCUUGUUCUAAACCUUUUCUUGAGCCCCACUCCAAGCACUUUAAAUUUCUGUUGAAAUGCAGUGGUUUCCAUUCCACUUCUCUGCUCAAAUACUUUCCAUAUUCCCCUGUAUUAGGUUCUUCCCAACCAGCCCCACCUACCUCUCUUGCUGACAUUUUCUUGUGCUUAUCUCUUUCACACACAUUCCAACUCUAACCAGAUGGUUUCCUUGCUGCCCUAGGAGCACACAUUUCACUCUCUUACCUCUGGGCCUUUGCUCUUGCCACGUGUUCUGGGGAGGUAUUCUUUUCUUUCCUUAUUCAUUGGAACCCAAGCUACUCUUAACACAUAGCUUAAGUAGCCAUUUCUUUCCGAGCCCUUUCAUCUCUACUCAACAUAAUCUCCUUACUUGGGAAUUGCUAUGAAGAUUUGUGGUUAUCAUUUAAAUUCGUUUCUAGAGCUUUGUGAUCUCCUACUACACUUGUCACAUAUUAACUGUAUUUAUUUUCUGUGGUAGUAAUAUUCAGGCACAAGGCAAACAGCUCCAAUUCAUGCUACUUUUCCUAUGCAAUGUGUAUUUUUUAUUGCCUAAGCUCACUAAGUUAUUAGGUUUUUCUAUGCACUCUUACGAGAGGAAUGAUAUAAAGAAUAUAGAUUACUCUUCAAGUAACCGAGUCAGAACUCCAUAUAUACAUUUUAAAAAUAAUCUUAAUUAUUCACAAAGUCAGAAAGAAUUGCAAUGUUCCAUGUUAGUCAUUUUAUGGUUUUUCAAAUUUACUUAUUAUUUCCAUUUGAAAUUGGUAGGUAUUAAGAAGCCAGUAAGUACAUUGAAGUGUUCACGAAUAAAGGAGAAUGAUGUUUACAACUUAUUACCUUGUGUAUGUAUGAGAGAGAAUGAUAAAGUAAAUAUGGGAAAAUGUUAAUGGUAAUGAAUACAGUGAAGGAGAGGUGGGAGUUUUAUGUACUAUUCUUGCAAAUUUUCUGUAAGCUUCACAUUUCUUCAUGAUAAAAUUUUAAAACAUUAAUAUUGGAUGUAUUAUCUUUCCUUCAACACUUUGUGUUGAAAAUAAUACCUAAAUAAAUUCUCAUGAAUGCUAAAUAUAAUUUAAAAAUAUUAAACUUUUAGACCCUUAAAAGUUUUUAAAUCUUUUAAAAUCCUUUACAUAAACCAACCCUAACUCAAAAGAAUAAAACAUAUUUAUUCAUUUUUAAAAAUAAAUUGGGAUAGAUAUUGUAUUUUUGUAUCAGAAAUAUGUAUUUUCUAACAAAUACUGAGUAUGUACUUUGUGUUAGGCACUGUGUAAGGUGCUAAACAUAGCUGCUACCCUUAUGGAGCUUCUUUCUGUAAAGUAAGGGAAGUGCUGAGACAAUAAAAAAGUAGAUGAUGGGAUAUCUGAAGAUGAUAAAGUCUAAAAGGAUACACGAAGCAGAAAAGAAGGACAGGUGGUCAGGGUUGGUGAUAGGCUUCAUCUGAGCAGAGAAUCAGGGAAAUUAAAGGAGUGAGCCAAGAAUGUAACCAGCAAAAGAGCUGUCCAGGUGGGAGAAUAACAGGUGUAAAGGCCUCAUGUGCUUAUCUUGUUCAGGAAGCAACAAGGGUUCUGGAUUAGUUAGAAGAGAUAGUGAACGAGGGAGAACGAUUAAGCGAUGAAGUGAAAUAUGUAGUGGGUGACAGAUAACAUAAGUUCUUACAGGUCUUUGUAAGGUUGUUGGCUUUUACUCCAAGUGAACUGGAAAUGAAUCAGAGCAUUUUGGGCAGGGGGAGAGAGAAUCUUGUUUAUGAGGAGAAUUUGUGGCUAUGUUGUAGAAAACAGAUUGUAAGGUGUAGAAGGCUGAAAGUUUGUGGAUGAAUUCAGAGGCUGUUGCCAAAAUCUAGUUGAGUUAUGUAUGGCAGCUUGAAAAUCAGGGUGCUAGCAGUAGAGGUGGAAUGUCAAGUGGCCAGAAUUUGAGUCUAUUCUGAAGAUAGAGUAAACGGGAUUUGUUAAGAUUGGAUAUUGGGAAUGAGCAAAAGUGGCAAAUCAAGGAAGAUUUCAAGGUUUUUCAACUGGGAUGAGGAUACUCUGUGAGGAAGAGGCUUUGGAAAGAGAAAUCAGAGUUUCAUUUUUGAACAUGUUAUGUUUGAGAUAACUGUGAGACAUCCAAAUGAAUAGGCUGACCAGGAACUGAGUUAUAUGAGCCUGGAGUUCAGGAAAGAGAAGUAUACUAGAAAGUAAAUUUGGGAGUUAUUAGUAUAUAGAUGGUAUUUAAAGUAUGAAACUUGAUGGGAUCCUAAGAAAUGAAUUAAGAGAAAAACAGAUGACUAAGGUUUGGAAAACAAAAAAUCCUUCAGGAGACAGGAAAAAACAAAACAAACAAACAAAAAACAACAAAAAACCACACAGGCAAAUGUAGAGUUCUGAACAAAGUGUUUGAGGGAGGAGAGAGUGAUCAAUUUUGUCAAAUGCAACUGACAGGUCAAUUAAUUUAAGGGUUGGGAAUUUGAUAGUGAAAUGGGAGUGAUUUUUUUCUUUGAUCACGGAAGUUUUGGUGGAAUGGUUUGAAAGGGAAAGGCCAGUGAGCUCAAAAAGAAGAAUUUGAGGGGAGAAAUUGAAGAUAGUGAGUGGAGCCAAUGCUUUUAAAGAGUUUCUCUGUAAAAGAGCAGAGGAUCAGAGAAGAGCUCAAGGAGCAGUGGGGUCAAGAGGUUUUUUUUUUUUUUUUCUACCCAGAAGAUAUUACAGAAGAUGUGUAUAUUGACAGAAAUGAUCAGGUUGAGAGGGAAAAUUUAAUAAUGCCUGGGGUGGAGGAAUUGUAGAAGCUCUGUUCUUGAGGAAUCAAGUGAGCAAGACGGCCAGCUUUUCCAUAGUACCUGGAGGGAAAAUGGAGUAUGUGAGCACAGAGGCAUGAGGGCUGGUGGAGAGGAGGGGAGAGUGUAUGAAAGCCCUCUUCCGAUUUCUUCUAUUCUCUCAGUGAAACAGAUGACAAAGACAUUCUCUGAGAGUGAGAUGAAAAAGGAAGUGCUGGAGAUUUGAGAGAAGAAGAGACAGGGUGAAAUGAUCAUCCAAUAGAGUGAGGAAGUAAAUGUCCUAAGGAAAUGUAAUAGUAUUACUGGAUUAAGGGUAUGUAAUGUCAGGAAUUUGAACUGAGACCAGUCACUGUUUUUUGAGACACUGUCAAUUGUGUAGGAGUCACAAAAUAGAUUUAAAAAUGGAUUUCACCAAGGAUGAGGUUGGCAUGUGAGUACAACAAGUGAUAAAAGCAGAAAGGUAUGCACAGGUAUGAUUAUAGUAUGGACUAUGGAAGCUAAACCAGAUAAAGUGUAAAGUGAGGACAUGAAAGGGCAGUGGGAAAGCAAAUGGAAAUAGGAUUAGAGGUUUGCAGGGUUGUUGGGUCAAUCAAGUUACAAAAGAGGGUGAGAUAGGAGUUCUCCUUGCGGCUCAGCAGAAAUGAACCUGAUUAGCAUCCAUGAGGAUGUGGGUUUGAUCCCUGGUCCUGCUCAGUGGGUUAAGGAUCUGGCAUUGUUGUGGCUGUGGCAUAGGCUGGCGGCUGUAACUUUAAUUUGACCCCUAGCUUGGGAACUUCCAU